GACGUAGGGCGCGAGCGUUGUCCGGAUUUAUUGGGCGUAAAGAGCUCGUAGGCGGUCUGUCGCGUCGGCUGUGAAAUCCCGGAGCUCAACUCCGGGUCUGCAGUCGAUACGGGCAAACUGGAGUACUGCAGGGGAGACUGGAAUUCCUGGUGUAGCGGUGAAAUGCGCAGAUAUCAGGAGGAACACCGGUGGCGAAGGCGGGUCUCUGGGCAGUAACUGACGCUGGAGGAGCGAAAGCGUGGGGAGCGAACAGG
rnacentral:rRNA from 1 species